rnacentral:rRNA from 1 species
CCUACGGGGGGCAGCAGUGGGGAAUAUUGGACAAUGGGGGGAACCCUGAUCCAGCCAUGCCGCGUGUGUGAAGAAGGCCCUCGGGUUGUAAAGCACUUUCAGUGAGGAAGAACGCCUGGUGGUUAAUACCCAUCAGGAAAGACAUCACUCACAGAAGAAGCACCGGCUAACUCCGUGCCAGCAGCCGCGGUAAUACGGAGGGUGCGAGCGUUAAUCGGAAUUACUGGGCGUAAAGCGCGCGUAGGUGGCUUGAUAAGCCGGUUGUGAAAGCCCCGGGCUCAACCUGGGAACGGCAUCCGGAACUGUCAAGCUAGAGUACAGGAGAGGAAGGUAGAAUUCCCGGUGUAGCGGUGAAAUGCGUAGAGAUCGGGAGGAAUACCAGUGGCGAAGGCGGCCUUCUGGACUGACACUGACACUGAGGUGCGAAAGCGUGGGUAGCAAACAGGAUUAGAUACCCCUGUAGUC